rnacentral:lncRNA from 1 species
AAAGAAUUUUAUGCUGACGGGGUCGUAAGUCGGUGCCAAUACCACUCAAUCGCCUUAGCUGUCAGUUUCUGUCUGUUGACCCGAAGUCAUGAUGUUCACGAACAAAGCGAGGAUGACCACAGUACUCGUCAUCUGCGUCCUAACAAUGGUGUUCUACAUCGGUGUUCAUCAAGGGCGCGUCAGUGAAUACGUGAAGAUUGCAUUGGGCUACCUCGACGAUGACGUCAAUCCCCCAGAUGUUAUGACCAGAAACGGAACAUUAUUCGAACGUCAACCUG